UAGGGAAUAUUGGGCAAUGGGCGGAAGCCUGACCCAGCCACGCCGCGUGCAGGAAGACGGCCCUCUGGGUUGUAAACUGCUUUUGAUUGGGAAGAAAGCAGCUCAUGCGUGAGAAUUUGACGGUACCAAUCGAAUAAGCCACGGCUAACUACGUGCCAGCAGCCGCGGUAAUACGUAGGUGGCGAGCGUUAUCCGGAUUUAUUGGGUUUAAAGGGAGCGUAGGCGGCUGAUUAAGUCAGCGGUGAAAGGUAGCAGCUUAACUGUUUUACAUGCCGUUGAUACUGGUUAGCUUGAGUUGACAGAAGGCAGAUAGAAUUCCUGGUGUAGCGGUGAAAUGCUUAGAUACCAGGAGGAAUACCGAUUGCGAAGGCAGUCUGCUGCAGUCACACUGACGCUGAGGCUCGAAGGUGCGGGGAUCAAACAGG
rnacentral:rRNA from 1 species